CCUACGGGUGGCAGCAGUGGGGAAUAUUGGGCAAUGGGCGCAAGCCUGAUCCAGCAACGCCGCGUGAAUGAAGAAGGCUCUCGGGUUGUAAACUUCUGUUAUCAGGGACGAAACAACUUACGGUACCUGAUGAAUAAGCCACGGCUAUCUACGUGCCAGCAGCCGCGGUAAUACGUAGGUGGCAAGCGUUAUCCGGAUUUACUGGGAGUAUAGGCCGGGUAGGUGGGAAAGCAAGUCAGAUGUGAAAACCAUGGGCUCAACCUGUGGACUGCAUUUGAAACUGUUUUUCUUGAGUACUGGAGAGGCAGACGGAAUUCCUAGUGUAGCGGUGAAAUGCGUAGAUAGUAGGAGGAACACCAGUGGCGAAGGCGGUCGGCUGGACAGUAACUGACGCUGAGGUGCGAAAGCGUGGGGAGCAAACAGGAUUAGAUACCCCUGUAGUC
rnacentral:rRNA from 1 species